GUAGCAUUAUCCCAGUGAGCUUCUUCCAAACCUAUUAUCCCUCCCUGUUAAUGUUUGACAUGUUCUCUGGUUCGAAUUCGAUUUAUUUAUAGACUCCAUGCAAGUUGAUGGAUCUCUACAAACUCAUUUUUCUCUUUGCCAAUCAGGCAUGUAUUGUUUUGUUUUCGUCCAUUUCAUAACGUGAUGUUUGCUUUGUCUUUAAGGUGGCUUUGCCUUGGCGCUACCAGUGUCGUUGAGGAUGCAGGACAUGGUGGUGGUUCCACUGGAUCCAGCACGGUUGCAGGGGAUUGAGCGGCAGUGGCUCUGUGUCGUUGGUACAUCAAUAAAGAUCUACCAGAAAUAACUGAGAUACUUACACAGAAGUACUCCUGGUGCAGUUAGGGAUUUUUUUAUACCAUGGUGCAUCUUUCUGAUGUGCGUGUUGCUUCAGAUGGUCACUUGUCUUACUAUCUACUCUGCUAUUUUGUGUGGGAAUUCCCUGACUUUUUACAGUAGAAAGGAAAGCAUUGCCCCCCCUUUUAUUUUUAGCACGAUAUUCAGUGCUAAUUUUGAGUGGAAGAAGUGGAAAAAUUUCAGGUGAUUACUGUCAAGGAUUGUAACUAUAUAUUUAUCUUAGAAAGUAUGGUUUCACGU